rnacentral:rRNA from 1 species
AGCCCUUGACAUGUCGGUCGCGGUUUCCAGAGAUGGAUACCUUCAGUUAGGCUGGACCGAACACAGGUGCUGCAUGGCUGUCGUCAGCUCGUGUCGUGAGAUGUUGGGUUAAGUCCCGCAACGAGCGCAACCCUCGCCCUUAGUUGCCAGCAUUCAGUUGGGCACUCUAAGGGGACUGCCGGUGAUAAGCCGAGAGGAAGGUGGGGAUGACGUCAAGUCCUCAUGGCCCUUACGGGCG